GGAGGUUUGGCAGAGUUGGUCUAUUGCACUAGUCUUGAAAACUAGAGGGCGGUCAAACGUCCCAAGGGUUCGAAUCCCUUAGCCUCCU
rnacentral:tRNA from 1 species